rnacentral:rRNA from 1 species
AUUGAACGCUGGCGGCAGGCUUAACACAUGCAAGUCGAACGAGUUGCGGACGGGUGAGUAAUGUCUGGGAAACCGCCUGCUGGAGGGGGAUCACUACUGGAAACGGUAGCUAAUACCGCAUACCAUCAGCUGUGCCCAGAUGGGUAUAGCUAGUUGGUGGGGUAACGGCUCACCAAGGCCACGAUCCCGAGCUGGUAUGAAAGGAUGACCGGCCACACUGGAACUGAGACACGGACCAGACUCCUACGGGAGGCAGCAGUGGGGAAAAUUGCACAAUGGGCGCAAGCCUGAUGCAGCCAUGCCGCGUGUAUGACGAAGGCCUUCGGGUUGUAAGGUACUUUCAGCGGGGAGGCGUUACCCGCAGAAGAAGCACCGGCUAACUCCGUGCCAGCAGCCGCGGUAAUUC